AUGAUGGUGGUGUGGGCAAUAUCUUAAGUAUCCUUUAUAUCUCUCCCAAGCUUGGAGAAAGGAUUCGACAUCUUCUUGAACAAAUCUAGAAAUCUUGCCUUUUAGCUU
rfam:Capsicum annuum cultivar Zunla-1 chromosome 3, whole genome shotgun sequence